GGGAGGCUCGGGGCAUGGCCUCAGGCAGAGGGAGAGAAGCCUGGGGAAGGGGCACGGAGGAGGGAAAACAAAGGCUCAAGCAUCACUAGCCCAGAAGAACCAUGGUGACUUUGGAACUGCUCUUGGUCACCCCCUGGGAACCUGAGGUCAAGUGUGAAGUCUAUCACUCCUGGGUGUAGAGACUCAGUUCUGCCUGCUGCUCCCCACUGAGGAUAUGGGGUGCUGCUGCUGAGGGUCCUGGCGGGGCACAGAGGACAGCAAGUAUAGCGGGGUGGUCCUGAACUUGAGACAGAGCCCAAGGUGCCAUUGUCAUUGCUGCUGUGACUGUGGUGACCAUGCAUUCAGGGGAAGGAUCUCCAUGUUCAUCAUGGUCACCACUAUGACCAUCAUCCCGGCGAUGCCGCCUAACCACACCCAUUGUGCCAGUGUCCCCUGCUGUCAUCAUCACGGUCACUGCCAUCCUCCUUAACUGUUAGAGAACAUCACCCAUGCUUGGCUUUCAAGUUUGGUAUCCUCCAUGUUACCAGUGGGGAAGCUGCAGCAUAGAGAGGGACAGACAGCCAUCCUGAGACACAGAGCAAGCCAGUGGGGGAGGUGGACUCAAACCCAUGGGUGCCUGGUUCAGAGGCUAUGGUUCUAAGCUGUGGGAGCUUAGACUGGAAGUGUCCCCCGAGGGCUGUACUGGAGCUUCCAGAAGGUGACUGAACUACACAGUCUGUGGCCACAGAUGGAGCCAGACAUGGAUGGUGCUGUUGGAGGCAAUGAAAGGAAGGAAGAAGCUAUAGGGGGCAGGUUGUAGGACCUGUGGUUUUGAAGGUUAUACCAGCUCCCUGCUCCCCUCUGUCUGCUGUCUACGAGCCACUUUGCACUCCUACAUGCUUUCUGCUAGGACACCUUGCUGUCUCAUACACCGCCCAACAGCCAAGGGACCAGGACCAAAUCUCCCUAAGGAACCCAAAUCAACCUCUUUUCCUGGUAAAUAGCUCCCUUGGGCAUUUUGUUAUAGUCAAGGCAAACAGCUGCAGAGGAUGGGUCUCCACCCACCACUCAUAAAACAGCAGAGAGUAGACUGACCCAGAGACCUUCCACCCAGACAGCCUCCUGGAGACAACCAGCAGCUGAAGGCCUACUAUGUGCCACCAUAAAUCCCUGUGGAUACACAAAACCUGCAGUCCCCUAGUCUGUAUUACCUCCAUGGAGGGUGAUCCUGAGGGUCAAAGUGGGUGAGGCCACUCUGGACGUUGCUGGGGUUGCUUAUGAUUGUUGUGGAGACAAAACCAAGUAACCCAGGACCUCUGUGUCUUGGGAACCAGGAACAGCAGGAAAGGGUCCAUCAGUGAUGGAGGAGAGACUGAGGGUGAGAGACUUGAGUAGCAAAGGCUGUGCUGGCUUCUCCAGGUCGUGGAAGCAUUGGAUGAGUACUCUAGCACCCCCAGCCUGGUCCAUGCCUGCCCACUGACAACUAAAACACGGAGAAAUUUCCAGAGGAAAAAUGACCCUGAGCUCCGCCAGCAUCCAUCCCCCUGCACCGGUAAGCAGCAAGCCCUGCGCUCCCGUUGGAAUUCUCACCCUUUCCAUCAAGAAGGCCUUCCACCACCAGAAGAUUUCUUCUCAUGCCCUUUGGCUGUGUAGGUCGUGGACCCAUCCCUAAGUCCCUCUUACCAGAAGAAAGACACGCACCUCACAGGGGAGGAAGGAACUGGAGCAAUAAUGUGGAGCUGGGAGACAAGGACUCAAGGGCUAGCCUUGGGAAACAAGCCCCGCCAGCCUGAUCAUCACGGAAUUUAAACAGACAACAAAGUCGAGAUCCCACAAGACCAAGAUAGAAAGAAAGAUCACAGUUCACACAUUCUCCAGGCUGUGUGGCUCAGAGGAAGAGAGAGGCAUUUAUUCCCUAGGCUGGUGGUGGAGUGGGUGGAUGGCCGGUGGCUUUCCUGUGGAUCAAUGAAAGAAGAGGAUAGAAGUUGGAGUUCCCAAUCCAGCAGAGGGAGAGGAGGGAACAUUCUAUACACCAUGAAUGGAUGGUACAUACGUGUGCACGUGUACACACACACACACACACACACACUCACUCACUCACAC